GACGAACGCUGGCGGCGUGCUUAACACAUGCAAGUCGAACGGAAAGGCCUGUCCUUCCUUGUGUUGGACGGGUACUCGAGUGGCGAACGGGUGAGUAACACGUGAGUGAUCUGCCCCCAACUUGGGUAUAAGCCUGGGAAACUGGGUCUAAUUCCCGAUAGGACUGCAGGGUGGUGCCUGUGGUGGAAAACGAUUUUCUAGUGGUUGGGGAUGAGCUCGCGGCCUAUCAGCUUGUUGGUGGGGUAAUGGCCUACCAAGGCGGCGACGGGUAGCCGGCCUGAGAGGGUGGACGGCCACAUUGGGACUGAGAUACGGCCCAGACGCCUACGGGAGGCAGCAGUGGGGAAUAUUGCACAAUGGGCGGAAGCCUGAUGCAGCGACGCCGCGUGGGGGAUGACGGCCUUCGGGUUGUAAACUCCUUUCGACCGCGAGGAAGCCGCCUGGUUGGAAGGGUGGUGACGGUAGUGGUAGAAGAAGCACCGGCUAACUACGUG
rnacentral:rRNA from 1 species